rnacentral:rRNA from 1 species
UACGGAGGAUCCAAGCGUUGUCCGGAUUUAUUGGGUUUAAAGGGUGCGUAGGCGGAUCUUCAAGUCAGUGGUGAAAGCCUGCAGCUUAACUGUAGAACAGCCAUUGAAACUGAAGAUCUUGAAUGUGGUUAAAGUAGGCGGAAUGUAUCAUGUAGCGGUGAAAUGCUUAGAUAUGAUACAGAACACCGAUAGCGAAGGCAGCUUGCUGAACCAUUAUUGACGCUGAGGCACGAAAGCGUGGGGAGCGAACAGG